rnacentral:rRNA from 1 species
GAUCCUGGCUCAGGAUGAACGCUAGCUACAGGCUUAACACAUGCAAGUCGAGGGGCAGCAUGACGAUAGCUUGCUAUGUGAUGGCGACCGGCGCACGGGUGAGUAACGCGUAUCCAACCUUCCCUAUAGUAGAGGAUAGCCCGGCGAAAGUCGGAUUAAUACUCUAUGUUUUCCAGUGCAGACAUCUAAGUUGGAACAAAGGUUUACCGCUAUAGGAUGGGGAUGCGUCUGAUUAGAUAGUAGGCGGGUAACGGCCCACCUAGUCGACGAUCAGUAGGGGUUCUGAGAGGAAGGUCCCCCACAUUGGAACUGAGACACGGUCCAAACUCCUACGGGAGGCAGCAGUGAGGAAUAUUGGUCAAUGGGCGAGAGCCUGAACCAGCCCAAGUAGCGUGCAGGAAGACGGCCCUAUGGGUUGUAAACUGCUUUUAUCGGGGGAUAAAGUGAGGGACGUGUCCCUUUUUGUAGGUACCCGAUGAAUAAGGACCGGCUAAUUCCGUGCCAGCCGCCGC